AGAGUUAAACAGUACGUGAAAUUGUUGAAAGGGAAACGAUUAAAGUCAGUCGUACCGAUGGACAUUCAACCUCUUGAGUGCGAUUAUGUCGGGCGUUGGGGAGCUUAACCGCCCUCGCGUUUGGGUAUUUGUGCUCUACAGGUGUACUUGUCCGUAUGGUAGGUUAACAUCAAUUUUGGUCGUCAUAAAAUGACGGGAGGAAUGUAGCUUCGAUCCCGUAUUGAAGUGUUAUAGCCUCUGGUAGAUGUGAUGACCGGGAUUGAGGAUUGCAACGAACCCUUCGGGGCCACCUGUCUGGCCUCUGGUGGUUGCUCUGGUGCCGAAAGCUUGCUUAUGGUUAUCAAAGUUGGCUGCCAAAAGGUUAGAACGGGUUAAUUUCGUUAAGGAUGUUGACGUAAUGGCUUUAAACGACC
rnacentral:rRNA from 1 species